UACGAAGGGGGCUAGCGUUGCUCGGAAUCACUGGGCGUAAAGCGCACGUAGGCGGAUCUUUAAGUCAGGGGUGAAAUCCUGGAGCUCAACUCCGGAACUGCCUUUGAUACUGGGGAUCUUGAGUCCGGAAGAGGUGAGUGGAACUCCGAGUGUAGAGGUGAAAUUCGUAGAUAUUCGGAAGAACACCAGUGGCGAAGGCGGCUCACUGGUCCGGUACUGACGCUGAGGUGCGAAAGCGUGGGGAGCAAACAGG
rnacentral:rRNA from 1 species